GGGCCUGUAGCUCAAUGGUUAGAGCAGGCCGCUCAUAACGGUCUGGUUGCAGGUUCGAGUCCUGCCGGGCCCACCA
rnacentral:tRNA from 1 species